CUGCUACGAGGGUCUGAAUGUUUGUCCCUCACAUAGGAUUCCUGAGCAUUGUUGCCGUGGUCUGAAUUUUUGCCACUCACAUAGGAUUCCAGAACAGUGCUACGAGGGUCUGAAUGUUUGUCCCUCACAUAGGAUUCCAGAAAACUUCUGCUGGUAUCUGAAUGUUUGUACCUCACAUAGGAUUCCAGAACACUGCUGCUGGGGUCUGAACGUCUGUCCCUCACAUAGGAUUCUAGAACACUGCUGUUGGGGUUUGAAUGUCCCUCACAUAGAAUUCCAGAACACUGCUGCGAGUGUCUGAAUGUUUGUCCUGCAGAUGGGAUUCUAGAACACUGCUGCGAGGGUCUAAAUGUCUGUCCCUGACAUAACAUUCCAGCACACUGCUACGAGGUUUUGAAAUGUUUGUCCCUCACAUAGGAUUCCAGAACAUUCCUGCUGUGGUCUGAUUGUUCCUCACAUAGGAUUCCAGAACACUGCUACGAGGUUCUGAAUUUUUGUCCCUCACAUAGGAUUGCAGAACACUGCUACAAGGGUUUGAAAGUUUUUCCCUCACAUAGGAUUCCACAACACUACUGCUGGGGUCUGAAUGUUUGUCCCUCACAUAGGAUUCUGGAACACUCCAGCUGGCUUCUGAGUGUUUGUCCCUCACAUAGGAUUCCUGAAGACUGCUGCUGUCACUAUAGUCGUUGCGAGUGUCUGAAUGUUUGUCCUUCACCAAACACUAAAUAUCCUGCCCCUUUAGUCUUGGACUUCCCAGCCUCCAGAUCUGUGAGCAAUAAUCUCUGUUGUUUAUGAAUUACUCAGUCUAAAGUAUUUUGUUAUAGUAGCCUAAAAAGACUAAGAGAGCAUCACCUGCCCUGUCACCUCAUCACCGCAUUACUAAAGCUAUACUAACAGCAGUCACUUUUAGUGGGUGCUUCAUGCAUGAGAAUAAAGGGAAAAAAUUGAAAGGCAUACUAAAAUCCAAAAAAAGAAAAAAAAUACAAUUUGUAUCAACAGAGCAAGCUUCAGAAGCAGACAAAGAUAUGAUUUUGGAAUUUUUGUAAACCUCUGGAGAAUAUGCUAAGGGCCUAAUGAAUGAAGUAGACAGCAUUCAAGUAUAGACGGGUAAUGUAAUCAGAAAGACAGACAUCGUAAGGACCUUCAACAUAAUGUAGUGGUAAAAAAUGUGGUAAAUAACUGAAGAAUACCUCUGAUGGCUUAUUAGUAGACUGGACUCAGCUGAGUAAAUAAUCUCUGAGCUUGAGGAUUUAUCAUCAGAAACUUCGAAAACUAAAGAAAAGAAACACUGAAAAGAACAGAAGAUGAUAUCCAAGACUGUGGGACAACUACAAGAGGUGAAACAGAGUAAUGAGAAUACCAGGAGGAGAAGAAAUAGAAGAAAGUUCUGCAACAACCAUGUCUGAGAACUUCCAGUAUUAAUGUCAGACACCAAACCAAAGAUCCAGGAAGCUCCGAGAACACCAGGCAGAAUAAAUGCCAACAACCUACACUUGGACAUAUAAUUUUCAAACUAUAUGAAAUAAAAGAUAAAGGGAAACUCUGAAAGAAACCAGAGGUGGGGCAGAAAACACCUUACCUACAGAGACACAAAGAUAAGAACUGCAUUCAACAUUGCAGAAACUGUGAAAGCAAGAAGACAGUGAAAUGAAAAAUUCAAAAUGUUGACA
rnacentral:lncRNA from 10 species